rnacentral:lncRNA from 1 species
CUCUGUUUUAAAUAAAAUAAAAAGGAAACCAGAGGGGCUUCCUCCAAAAUAUGAAAAGGAUUAUUAGGGAAAUAUGAAAAAAUUUAGGGGAGAAACAGAAGCUUUUAAAUCUCCCACAAAAAUAAAAUAGAGAGGAGAGAAGGGGUUUUUAUCCCAUGGUGCAACUUGUGGUUUUUGACAUGCACUUGUUGCACCCACACCUCAACAACACAAAGGCACAACCACCUAACACUUGCACAACACAUCAAGUUCACC